UUUGCUUUCUUUGAAGUUUCUGAUCAUCUAUAUAUUGUGAUAUUUUCAACCCAAACAAAGAGAGAGAAAUAGAGAAAUUGAGAGAGCGAGAGAGAGAGAGAGAGCUCUCUCUAUGCUUUCAUUUUCCUUUGGUCCUCCAACAACUCAAUGAUUUAUCAACGAUAAAACUUAUUGUUAGCAGUUGGCAGCUGUGAUAGUGUGAGUUGAGUCACAUAAAUUCUCUCUCUAAAAAUAAGGGAGGUAGACAAGUUCAAAAAUGGGUUUUGAUGCAAGGUGAUGAAGUAAAUGAUAGGUUAUUGUUGACAGAAGAUAGAGAGCACAACUGAAUAUGCCCAUAAAGGCGUGUGUAUGAGCAGUCUUGUGCUCUCUCUUCUUCUGUUAACAAACAAACUUGUUGAUGCUAUAAGACCAUCAAAAUCAUCUUAUGAAGUUUCAACCAUAUCAUUAAGAGGUAAGUAUGUAUGAUACAGUUCUUGAUACAAGUUUUGAUCUUAUUCUUUGCCAGGUUUGAAUAUCCAUAUAUUGUUAUUAACAGUGAAAGGAAUGUUUUUGGAUCUUUCCUUCAGAUUUUCAGAGGAAAAAAGUUGCAGCCGGAAGUAUAUGAUUCAUAUGUUCUGUUUGUUCAAACAUCAUAUUUUACAUUAAUUUUUAAUUUUUCAAAAUGAUAUGAUAGUCAUAUUUUUACUUUUUAAAAUUUUAUAUCUUUUAAUAAAUAUUAUUUUAUAUUAACAUAUGUAUAUGUCAAUAAAAAGGUGUGCUAUAUAGUUUAGUUUGGCUUCGUAUGGUUUUUUUUUUUCUUCUCCUCAUUUGGAAAAGAUAUCCUCACAUCAUGGAAAAGACAUUAUCUGAAGCGAAAAUAUCUCCGCAAGGCUACUGUGAAAAUAUCAACAAAAGUGUUUUGUUUUAAAAUUAAAAAUGAUAUAUAAUGGUCCUCACCUUUUUUGUCUAAUAUUAAUCUGAUUAUGAUAAAUCAAAUUAAAAGAUAUUCAAAAUUUAGUAUCUAAAUUUAAUUACUGUAAACAUUAUGUAACUUUGUUGGACCUAGUUUGUAUUUUUUUUUUUUCCCUUUAAAAAUGAUGCUUUAAGGUGUCAUCACGGUAUCCGUGGAUCCAGGUUCCGAGAUAACCGGUUAUUGGCCUGAUUUGAUCUAAUACAUAGGAAGGGACCCACUACCACCGAAGUACUAGCGGAGCUCAACCAUACACCACAGACGAACUUAGAUUUCGAUCGAAAUACAGGACGAGAUCUCUGAAGAGAGCUAGCUGCAAAGCAACCAUUUUUUGCCCCUCUCAGGAUUCGAAUCUGGGUCAUGUCUGUGGCCAGUGCCACCACCCCAUGACCUAGUUUGUAUUUGAAUGAAAGUAUAUGCGUACUUUUAUGAAUAAUGCUAUAUGUAUUAAUUAAUGUACUAACUAAUAUAGUAACAAAUGAUGUGAUAUAAUUUUAAAAGUUUUAGGUAUGAAUAAUGCUAUAUGCACUGAGAGGGAAAAAUAUGGUCUGGAUUGGGCAAUGGUAAUACCAGGCAAAUUGUGGGCCGAACACAUUUGGGCCGUGGUAUCCCAGGUCC